GAUGAACGCUGGCGGCGUGCCUAAUACAUGCAAGUCGAGCGAACGGACGAGAAGCUUGCUUUUCUGAUGUUAGCGGCGGACGGGUGAGUAACACGUGGAUAACCUACCUAUAAGACUGGGAUAACUUCGAGAAACCGGAGCUAAUACCGGAUAAUAUUUUGAACCGCAUGGUUCAAAAGUGAAAGACGGUCUUGCUGUCACUUAUAGAUGGAUCCGCGCUGCAUUAGCUAGUUGGUAAGGUAACGGCUUACCAAGGCAACGAUGCAUAGCCGACCUGAGAGGGUGAUCGGCCACACUGGAACUGAGACACGGUCCAGACUCCUACGGGAGGCAGCAGUAGGGAAUCUUCCGCAAUGGGCGAAAGCCUGACGGAGCAACGCCGCGUGAGUGAUGAAGGUCUUCGGAUCGUAAAACUCUGUCAUUAGGGAAGAACAUAUGUGUAAGUAACUGUGCACAUCUUGACGGUACCUAAUCAGAAAGCCACGGCUAACUACGUG
rnacentral:rRNA from 1 species